GCUGUGAUGGCCGAGUGGUCUAAGGCGUUGGACUUAUGAUCCAAUGGGUUCUACCCUUGUAGGUUCGAAUCCUACUCACAGCG
rfam:Biomphalaria glabrata isolate BB02 linkage group LG13 unlocalized genomic scaffold LG13_random_Scaffold41, whole genome shotgun sequence.